AAAAAUACGAGGAAAACAGGACUCAAUCAAUUCAAAUGAAGUGAGCAGCCUUUCGCUGCACUCAUGAGCUUCCCUGUCCUCUUGGUAGAUAGGAAUUCAACAGUUAAAGCCAGACACGAAACAUGGAAAAAUCUCUUCUUGGUAGGCCAAACGCCAAGAUCGUAUUUAGUUCUGACAAAUAAUCCUACAUUGAAAUUGACAAUCUUUUUGCUCCAAUCAUCACUUAUUUCCUUGAACACCCUGUUUUUGAUCGAGUGAACCGAGUGCCUGUCUAAAACUACCAUCAACUUUUCCUGAGCCGUCUUUGGAACGGAGACGCUAAUUUCUUGCAAAACUCUCAGCGAGAUGAUGGCUCUUCCGUAGGACACAGUAACUUUGACAUCGUCAAUGACAAGGUUUACCUUCUUGUUUGUAUUAUUUACAGAGAAUUCUAUGUCAUAAUUUGCAGUAAAUUG
rnacentral:misc_RNA from 1 species